rnacentral:rRNA from 1 species
AUUGAACGCUGGCGGCAUGCCUUACACAUGCAAGUCGAACGGCAGCACGGGAGCAAUCCUGGUGGCGAGUGGCGAACGGGUGAGUAAUAUAUCGGAACGUGCCCAGUCGUGGGGGAUAACGUAGCGAAAGCUACGCUAAUACCGCAUACGAUCUACGGAUGAAAGCGGGGGAUCGCAAGACCUCGCGCGAUUGGAGCGGCCGAUAUCAGAUUAGCUAGUUGGUGGGGUAAAAGCUCACCAAGGCGACGAUCUGUAGCUGGUCUGAGAGGACGACCAGCCACACUGGAACUGAGACACGGUCCAGACUCCUACGGGAGGCAGCAGUGGGGAAUUUUGGACAAUGGGCGAAAGCCUGAUCCAGCCAUGCCGCGUGCAGGAUGAAGGCCUUCGGGUUGUAAACUGCUUUUGUACGGAACGAAAGACUCUUUCUAAUAAAGAGGGUCCAUGACGGUACCGUAAGAAUAAGCACCGGCUAACUACGUGCCAGCAGCCG